rnacentral:rRNA from 1 species
GGAUGUGAUCAUACCAGCACUAAAGCACCGGAUCCCAUCAGAACUCCGAAGUUAAGCGUGCUUGGGCGAGAGUAGUACUAGGAUGGGUGACCUCCUGGGAAGUCCUCGUGUUCCAUUCC